rnacentral:lncRNA from 1 species
AUUGACAUUAGUCAAGAUGUGGAAUCAAGCUAAGUGUCCAUCAACAGAUGAAAAGAUUUUAAAAAGUGAUAUAUAUGUAUGUGUGUGUAUAUACAUGUAUGUAUGUAUAUGUGUGUCUGUGUAUGUCUCUCUCUCAUAUAUAAUGAAAUAUUAUUCAGUCUUCAAAAAAAAGGAAUGCUUCCAUGCCUUCCACAUGUGACAACAUGGAUAAAUCUAGAGGGCAUUAUGCUAAGUGAAAUGAACCAGAAACAGGAAGACAAAUCCUGCGUGUAUCACUUACAUGUGGAAUCUAAAAAAGUUGAACUCUUUAGGCACCAAUAUUUUUAAAGUAGGAUCAUUUCUCCUAAUAAUAUGAAUUUCCAGUUUUUCCAGAAAGAUAGCAAGAAUUACAAUGCUGGGUCACAAUGGCACGAUAGUCUGAGGCUAAGGCCCACUUCAGAUAAAGCAUGCAUUCUUUGUUUACCUCAGUGUCUGCUCACCACAAUUUAUUCACUGCUAAUACCCUCUUGUUCCCUGCAGGUACAUCUGUGUGUGACACCUAUGUGUGUUUUUCAAAGAGCAAAAGUCUUUAUAACUAUAGGAGCUUAUUGAGAUAAAGAAAACUACAGCUUUUUAAAGACGGUUAUUUCCCUGCUGGGAUUUGGGAAGAUUUCUUCAUGUGAAAUAAGCAGAGGGAAUUUGAACUAAAUAACUCCAUUGCCUACUGAAGAAGCUGCCCAGAAAAGAGAAAGUUUGAUGCCAAGACUCAGAGGGGAUUGGAUCUCACCUUCGGAUCCCCAUUUACUCCACCCUGAUAAGGAGGCCUCUCUGGUCCCUUGGUGCUCCAUUCCUAACUGGCAGUCCGGGGACCCAAUGGUGUGUCCUACAUCUGGUCUUGUGCUCUGUAGUCUCGUCUGUUGGUUGUGUGGUAAGGAUUUGAUUUCAUUUUUAUUCAGCACUCACUUGAUUUCUAAUGCUGGCUUCUUUUUAAAAAAAUAAAAAUAAACCAUUUGACCACUCAUUUGGUGGUCUCCAAUGAAUGGUUUGUAGAGAUUUUGUCUCUGCUGGGUGAAAGAUGACAGAAAAUCUGUUUUUUAAAUCUCUGUGUAUCUAUUAUGAGCUCAAAUCAAGUAAGAAUUCAGACCCACUAGAAAGAGAACAGCUUUUUUAUAUAAAUUUUGUAUUUCUGUUUAUGAUCAACUUAUGAGUAAAAUUUUAGAAGUGAAGUUACAUCUGUGUGUAUAAAGUAUGUUUAUAUGUCUAUAAUUUAUAAAGCCCUUUCCCUCUCACUGGGUGGAAUAUUUUCCUAAUUCCACAUGGUAUUCAUAAGUUAGAUUGCAAACUCUUUUAUAUUAAAGGAAUCCUUUUCUAAUUGGCUUUGAA